UGGGGAGUCGUCUAGCGGUAGGACAGCAGACUCUGGAUCUGCGAGCGGUGGUUCGAGUCCAUCCUCCCCAGCCA
rnacentral:tRNA from 1 species